GCCGAUGGCCGCGGCGAAGAGCUCGCUGAGGCAACCGCCUCCCGCCGCCCGCCUCCGCCGUCAGGGGCUCGCUUUCACCUCCCUCCUCUCCUCCCUGCGGCUUGCCGGGAAGUGUAGUUCCUCCUGUCGCCUGCCCCCUUGUCCCUCAGCCCCUCCUCAGGGCCGGCUCCGUGCCCGCUGGGGACAGCCCCGGGGAGGGCGAGGCAUGGUUGGGGGCCGCGGACCGAAAGUGGAGGUCGCGCUGGUGGUUUGGUGUAUUCUUACGUGUCGGGGAAGCGUUGAAAAGCUUUGGAGUAAGUCAGUGAAGCGCGGAGAUGUGGAGGAACUGAGCUGCCAAGUAAUGAAGCAGGUCAGAAGUGUUUUACUCGUGGAUGGCAUGCUGGUUAAAUCUCAGUGAAACCACUAUGUGAGACAGAACACAAUAUUUGCAUUACGACUCUGUACUGUGCAAUGCAAAAGAGACUAGAGGGGUCGCUGCUUCUUGUAGACCUUCAAGUCCAGUACUGUGUGGAAAUAGAUCUGAGGAAGGACGAGAGAACACGCUGUUUCUGUACGCUGUUCCACCUGCUGCAUGCGUGCCAGCUGCACUCACUCUGGGGCAGUUGCUGUAGACAGCUGGGGAAGGGUGAGUGAGAGCAGUCUUGGCACAGAUGUGACUGUUAUGAACUAAACUUUAGGGAUUGUGUCUGAAUUAUUCCAGUGCUGACAUACAUAGACAGUGGUGAUAGAGGUGCGUGGUGGUAUGUUUCCGCCGUAAGUACUGCCUGCAAUUUAGUGACAUGUGCCUUGAGUCUCUAAAGCUCAUGGGAAAUGAUACAAUGUCUCAGGAGAACUCUGUAGGGCAAGGAGGAGGUGGAGCAAGCCUUGUGUCAUUUCCAUGGAAUAGGUUCGAUGCUUGCAUACAGACCAGGCAAAACUAGUUUCUGCAGACCCUCUUGUUACAGUAGAACAUGUCGAUCCCCUGCCCAAUAUGAUUAUGAUUGUUAGCAGUUGUGUGGAAAUCUGGUGGGGAGGAAGGGGAAGAGGUAGAAAAGGAACGUGGAAAGUAAUUAUAGAAAACUAUUUGUUAGGGGAGUAUUAAAAAGGUAUAGAAACCCAAAACAUGAUGACCAGGAAACAGAAAGCAGCAAAUGGGCUAUGAGAUGUCCUUGUUCUACAAGCUAAAAUUCUGUGGCUUAGCAAAGGAUCACAGAAUGGGGAAAAUUCUCUGUUUCCCAAUAAUGGAAAACAGAGAUGAAUGUGUUAUCUUACCAGAUGUUUUACUUUAUAAAAGGUGGGAUAAAUAAUGAGUAAUUUUACUUCUUUGGGUACUUAAUGAAAGAGGCAAAAUUUUGGUUUGGCCACCGAGUGGAAGUAACAUCCUAAAAGAGGACUAUAAAGUAGUGGAUGCGUUACCUUGGAAACAAUGAGAGCCUUCAUUAGGCAGGUCGCUGUUAAUAAAAAGUUAAUUAAGAAUACUGGUAGUGAAGCA
rnacentral:lncRNA from 1 species